rnacentral:rRNA from 1 species
GCGUCUUCGAGCCAUGGCGGAGACGCGGCGUACGGCUCAGUAACACGUGGCUAACCUAACCUCGGGACGGGGACAACCCCGGGAAACUGGGGCUAAUCCUCGAUGGGCGAGGAGGCCUGGAACGGUUCCUCGCCGAAAGGGCGUCCGAACCAUGCUUUUAGACGCUGCCCGAGGGUGGGGCCGCGGCCGAUCAGGUUGUUGGUGAGGUAACGGCUCACCAAGCCUAUAACCGGUACGGGCCGUGAGAGCGGGAGCCCGGAGAUGGGAACUGAGACAAGGUCCCAGGCCCUACGGGGCGCAGCAGGCGCGAAAACUCCGCAAUGCACGAAAGUGUGACGGGGCUAUCCCGAGUGCUGUCCGCUGAGGACGGCUUUUCCAUGGUGUAAGGAGCCAUGGGAAUAAGGAGAGGGCAAGUCUGGUGUCAGCCGCCGCGGUAAUACCAGCUCUCCGAGUGGUAGGGAUGAUUAUUGGGCUUAAAAGCGUCCGUAGCCGGCCUAGCAAGUCUCUCGUUAAAUCCAGCGAUUCAAUCGUUGGAUUGCGGGGGAUACUGUCUGGCUAGGGGGCGAGAGAGGCCGACGGUAUUUUCGGGGUAGGGGUGAAAUCCUAUAAUCCCGGAAGGACCACCAGUGGCGAAGGCUGUCGGCUAGAACGCGCCCGACGGUGAGGGAUGAAAGCUGGGGGAGCGAACCGGAUUAGAUACCCGGGUAGUCCCAGCCGUAAACAAUGCAGGCUAGGUGUUAGGGCGGCCACGUGCCGCUCUAGUGCCGCAGGGAAGCUGUUAAGCCUGCCGCCUGGGGAGUACGGCCGCAAGGCUGAAACUUAAAGGAAUUGGCGGGGGAGCACCACAAGGGGUGAAGCUUGCGGUUUAAUUGGAGUCAACGCCGGAAAUCUCACCGGGGGCGACAGCAGAAUGAAAGCCAGAUUAAAGGUCUUGCCAGACGAGCUGAGAGGAGGUGCAUGGCCGUCGCCAGUUCGUGCCGUGAGGUGUCCUGUUAAGUCAGGCAACGAUCGAGACCCGCGUCCCCCGUUGCUAGUGCGCGAAUAGCCAAGCACACUGGGGAGACU